rnacentral:rRNA from 1 species
AACGAACGCUGGCGGCAGGCUUAACACAUGCAAGUCGAACGGAUCCUUCGGGAUUAGUGGCAGACGGGUGGGUAACGCGUGGGAACGUACCCUUUGCUACGGAAUAACUCAGGGAAACUUGAGCUAAUACCGUAUGUGCCCUACGGGGGAAAGAUUUAUCGGCAAAGGAUCGGCCCGCGUUGGAUUAGCUAGUUGGUGGGGUAAUGGCCUACCAAGGCGACGAUCCAUAGCUGGUCUGAGAGGAUGAUCAGCCACACUGGGACUGAGACACGGCCCAGACUCCUACGGGAGGCAGCAGUGGGGAAUAUUGGACAAUGGGCGCAAGCCUGAUCCAGCCAUGCCGCGUGAGUGAUGAAGGUCUUAGGAUUGUAAAGCUCUUUCACCGGUGAAGAUAAUGACGGUAGCCGGAGAAGAAGCCCCGGCUAACUUCGUG